GGGUGUAACACUUUGGAAGAACAGAAAUGUUAAAUGGCAACUGGCAGAGGAGGACCAACAGGGCCGAGUAUUUGUGACAGACACCCUAUAUGCCCACAAAGAAUCAAGGAAGAUUUCAGACCAUUGCGCAAUGCUCGGACAGCCCAUGAUCAAAUCCUAGUUUCACCUUCGAGGCAAGUUACAGCGGCAUCUGUGGAAAUACCUGCUUAGACCUUCUCCAAGAAAACCUGUCACAACGGCAUA